rnacentral:lncRNA from 1 species
GUCAAUAAUAGCUGCUAGUGUUACAGAAGAGAGGUGAAGCCUGGAGAAGAUAGAGUUCAUACCGGCAGUGUUUGUGAAAGCCUGGUGGAAUGGGGCUGAUAGUUGUCUCAGCCACAGACAACAUGGCGGGAUGUUAUUUGUGGGAAAACUCGUUCCAUGGCAACAUCUUUGUUAAAGAGAGGAGAAGCCGUCACGCUGGCAAUAGAAAGGUGUUGAUGAGCCAGGAAAGGAGUAACACAGAGCUGCUGGAAGUAGAUGGAGCACAAAGCCCUGCAACUGCCUUUGGUGGGGAGGAAGGGAAAAUGGAUCAGCCAAGUAUCUUUAUGUUUGAGGUACUUCAGGCUGGCUGUCAUGUGGGAUGGCACUGUGCAGAGUGGUGUCCAUGGAGACGGGGACAGUGUUGUUCGAAGGUGGAUUAUGUUGUUUAGUUUGUAAAAGCCUUCCUGCUAGUGCCAGCUGAUGCACUAAUGGACUGGCAGUGAUGACAUCCUGCUGAUGGAUCACAGUCUCAAAUAUACAUGAAGAUUAAAUUUAGUUAAACUUCACCAGUUGUCUUACAGUGUAUCUGGCAAUAGUGAGACUGUUUGGAGAUAGCAGCCUGUCUUGGGAGGGAGGAGAGUUAUCUCCAAAGAGACCUCAUGGUGACCUCACAGUAUGUUCUGACCUGCUUCCUGGCUAUCAGGAUAGAUGGACAGUAUUUCCAGGGGAGGACACAAGACCAAACACUUUUUAUGCUCCUGUGUUUAUUUGGUCAACUGUAUAUGGAUCUACUUCUCUGGAUGACGGGGAAUUUCUGUCUCCAUGCCAGUUCUAUUCAUUACAGUUCAUUUCAUAUUCCUAGAGUGAGAGGCCUUGGAUUCCAAAGAAUAUACUAAGACAUUUUGCAAGUAGAUGUUUAUAACACCAUUAAUAAUACAUACUUUAGUGUUUAUUGUACUAUAUCUGUUUAUUGAAAAGUAAUAAUGGUAGAAAACAAAUAUAUUGGAGAAAAUACUUUGCUUUGGGCUUGUCCUUGCAGAUGUAGUAACAUCAACAUUUGGGGAUCUGGUAGCAUUUCCACUGGAAAUCCCUUGAGUAUUUUCAGGGAUUUUACCAGUGGCUGGAGAAAAUACUUGUAAAUUUAACAAAGGGAAUCUUUGCAAACAAUGU